rnacentral:rRNA from 1 species
UACGUAGGGUGCGAGCGUUGUCCGGAAUUAUUGGGCGUAAAGAGCUUGUAGGCGGUCUGUCGCGUCUGCUGUGAAAAUCCGGGGCUCAACCCCGGACUUGCAGUGGGUACGGGCAGACUAGAGUGUGGUAGGGGAGACUGGAAUUCCUGGUGUAGCGUUGAAAUGCGCAGAUAUCAGGAGGAACACCGAUGGCGAAGGCAGGUCUCUGGGCCACUACUGACGCUGAGAAGCGAAAGCAUGGGGAGCGAACAGG